CUCCAGCAUCUAUGUUGAAACUCUCGAGAGAUUGCAUGUUCUAAGCCCCUGGGCACUGGAGCUGCCAGAGCCUCCUUCAUCCCUGCCCUUUCUGGAAUGGCACUGACACCCCCUAUCUACAGAACUUCAGAAGGAGCCAGCUGGCAAAGCAGAAAGUGUUAGGCAGAGUCCCCAGCCUUAGCAUCGCAGGAAGAGGAGAUCAGGACACACAGGCAACACAGAUCAAGGGAAGAUCAUGGAAGGAUGAAUCUACGCCAACUGAAACCUUGAUCUUGGACUUCUAGCCUCCGGAACUGUGAGAAAAUAAAUUUCUGUUGUCUAAGCUACCCAGUCGGUAGUAUUUUGCUAUGGUUACCCUCGCCCACUAAUGCAGUGUGCUGCAGAAGAAGGAAUUAUUUUAUACUGGAUGUCUUCUAGACUCCAUUAUGGCCAGUUGGACCUCAUCUCCUGAUUUACUACUUAUAUAUUAUUUCAACUCUUCAGCCCUUAUCUGUCCUCAUCCCCACUGGUCUAGAUUCUUAUAAUGUCUUGUUUGAAUUAUUCCUAACUGAUUUCCCUGCCUCCAGUUUUCCUACCUUCAGUGUAUUCUAGUCCUAUCGGCCAACACAGAAUAAUUCCUAUUACUCCACUGCUUAAGACUCUUAACUUCCUAUAACCUUAGAAUAAUGCUCUAACUCCUGUGCAUGAACUACAAGCUGUCUUCCCUCCUUCCAUCCCACCCUGACUUCCUAUGUCAAGUCCCAUCUGCUAAAAAUUGCUCAGAACCCUUGUUUUUCUAUCAUUCAUCGCCAGGUUGGUUGGCAGGGGGUGAGGGGGAAGGAUUUGGGAGUCUGGAGCUAUAGAAAAGCAAAAUAUAUGUAAAAUGAAAGAGUUAGCACAAUCAAUUAGGCCUAUGAUGAGCUCCACCUGGUAUUCCGUUUCUGGUGGAGGCGCUAAAAGUUGAGAGACAGAAGAACAUUCAGAGAGCUGGCCAGUCAUCCAAGUAUCACAUUAAAAAAAUCUACCAAGGGACUAGAAACAUACAUACCCAAUAGGAGAUUAAUUCAGAAAGGGUGGAAAAGAGAAAUUAAUAAGAGCUACUCUUCAUGAGGCACCUGCUAUGUUAGCCAAUCACUCCGCCCUCUCUCCAUGUUAUCUCAUGUGAACCUCAAAUGAACACCCUGAGGUAUUUGAGGUUCACCCUCAUCUAUAUUACAGAUGAGGAACUAGAAGGUAAAUUAGAACAUGCUCAAGAUCACCAAGGUAAGAAAACUGCCUUCAAACCCAGAUUUAUUAGAGUUUAAAGCCUAUGAUCUGUUUACUGUGUCAAACUGCCUUAGCUAUUACUGAACAUAGUGUUGUUUCUAUAAU